UACAGAGGGGGCAAGCGUUGUUCGGAAUUACUGGGCGUAAAGGGCGCGUAGGCGGCCUGCUAAGUCGAACGUGAAAUCCCUGGGCUCAACCCAGGAACUGCGUCCGAUACUGGUUGGCUUGAAUCCGGGAGAGGGAUGUGGAAUUCCAGGUGUAGCGGUGAAAUGCGUAGAUAUCUGGAGGAACACCGGUGGCGAAGGCGACAUCCUGGACCGGCAUUGACGCUGAGGCGCGAAAGCCAGGGGAGCAACGGG
rnacentral:rRNA from 1 species